rnacentral:lncRNA from 1 species
GAGCAGCACUGAUCAGACCCAAAGCUCAGCUUCUUCUCAGUCUCAUUUUUGAACAUUUCCUGUAAUUCGCCGUGUGCUGCCGUGGCUCGCAGGAGACUAGGACUUACUGCAGAGGUUCUGAGUCCUGCAUCCUUCACAGCCAGGCUCUGCCUGCCACAGUCUCCUUGGGGCGCAGGAUGGGAGCAGAGGAG